rnacentral:RNase_P_RNA from 1 species
AAAGUAGAUCAGGCGAUCGCAGGAUUUAAAAAUCUUGAGGAAAGUCCGAACACCAUAGGGCAGGACGCUCCAUAACGUGGAGUCGCGGUAACGUGAAGGAAAGUGCAACAGAGAAGAGACCGCCAGCAAUUUUAUUUUUUUAUGAGACUGUUAAUUGUUAAAUUCAUUAUUAUGAUAAUUAACACCAUAGAUAUAGUAAAUAUAGCUGGUAAGGGUGAAACGGUGCGGUAAGAGCGCACCAGUUUUUCAGGUGACUGAAAAAGCUUGGUAAACCCCGUCCGGUGCAAGACCAAAUAGGGAAGUGCUUGAGGGCUGCCCGUCCAAAACUUCCGGGUAGGUCGCAUGAGGUGUGCGGCAACGUACAUCCAAGAUGAAUGAUCGCUGCUCUGAAUGAGGGUAACCUUAUCAGAGAACAGAAUUCGGCUUACGAGCUACUUUCACC